ACGAACGCUGGCGGCGCGCCUAACACAUGCCAGUCGAACGAGCGAGAGAGAGCUUGCUUUCUCGAGCGAGUGGCGAACGGGUGAGUAACGCGUGAGGAACCUGCCUCAAAGAGGGGGACAACAGUUGGAAACGACUGCUAAUACCGCAUAAGCCCACGGCUCGGCAUCGAGCAGGGGGAAAAGGAGCAAUCCGCUUUGAGAUGGCCUCGCGUCCGAUUAGCUAGUUGGUGAGGUAACGGCCCACCAAGGCGACGAUCGGUAGCCGGACUGAGAGGUUGAACGGCCACAUUGGGACUGAGACACGGCCCAGACUCCUACGGGAGGCAGCAGUGGGGAAUAUUGCACAAUGGGGGAAACCCUGAUGCAGCGACGCCGCGUGGAGGAAGAAGGUCUUCGGAUUGUAAACUCCUGUUGUUGGGGAAGAUAAUGACGGUACCCAACAAGGAAGUGACGGCUAACUACGUG
rnacentral:rRNA from 1 species